GGUUAAGCGACUAAGCGUACACGGUGGAUGCCCUGGCAGUCAGAGGCGAUGAAGGACGUGCUAAUCUGCGAAAAGCGCCGGCGAGGUGAUAUGAACCUUUGACCCGGCGAUGUCCGAAUGGGGAAACCCAGUGUGAUUCGUCACACUAUCGUUAACUGAAUACAUAGGUUAACGAGGCGAACCGGGGGAACUGAAACAUCUAAGUACCCCGAGGAAAAGAAAUCAACCGAGAUUCCCCCAGUAGCGGCGAGCGAACGGGGAGCAGCCCAGAGUCUGAAUCAGCUUGUGUGUUAGUGGAAGCGUCUGGAAAGUCGCACGGUACAGGGUGACAGUCCCGUACACGAAAGCACACAGGCUGUGAACUCGAAGAGUAGGGCGGGACACGUGGUAUCCUGUCUGAAUAUGGGGGGACCAUCCUCCAAGGCUAAAUACUCCUGACUGACCGAUAGUGAACCAGUACCGUGAGGGAAAGGCGAAAAGAACCCCGGCGAGGGGAGUGAAAAAGAACCUGAAACCGUGUACGUACAAGCAGUGGGAGCACCUUCGUGGUGUGACUGCGUACCUUUUGUAUAAUGGGUCAGCGACUUAUAUUCUGUAGCAAGGUUAACCGUAUAGGGGAGCCGAAGGGAAACCGAGUCUUAACUGGGCGUUAAGUUGCAGGGUAUAGACCCGAAACCCGGUGAUCUAGCCAUGGGCAGGUUGAAGGUUGGGUAACACUAACUGGAGGACCGAACCGACUAAUGUUGAAAAAUUAGCGGAUGACUUGUGGCUGGGGGUGAAAGGCCAAUCAAACCGGGAGAUAGCUGGUUCUCCCCGAAAGCUAUUUAGGUAGCGCCUCGUGAACUCAUCUUCGGGGGUAGAGCACUGUUUCGGCUAGGGGGCCAUCCCGGCUUACCAACCCGAUGCAAACUACGAAUACCGAAGAAUGUUAUCACGGGAGACACACGGCGGGUGCUAACGUCCGUCGUGAAGAGGGAAACAACCCAGACCGCCAGCUAAGGUCCCAAAGUCAUGGUUAAGUGGGAAACGAUGUGGGAAGGCACAGACAGCCAGGAUGUUGGCUUAGAAGCAGCCAUCAUUUAAAGAAAGCGUAAUAGCUCACUGGUCGAGUCGGCCUGCGCGGAAGAUGUAACGGGGCUAAACCAUGCACCGAAGCUGCGGCAGCGACGCUUAGGCGUUGUUGGGUAGGGGAGCGUUCUGUAAGCCGUUGAAGGUGUGCUGUGAGGCAUGCUGGAGGUAUCAGAAGUGCGAAUGCUGACAUAAGUAACGAUAAAGCGGGUGAAAAGCCCGCUCGCCGGAAGACCAAGGGUUCCUGUCCAACGUUAAUCGGGGCAGGGUGAGUCGACCCCUAAGGCGAGGCCGAAAGGCGUAGUCGAUGGGAAACAGGUUAAUAUUCCUGUACUUGGUGUUACUGCGAAGGGGGGACGGAGAAGGCUAUGUUAGCCGGGCGACGGUUGUCCCGGUUUAAGCAUGUAGGCGGAGGUUCCAGGUAAAUCCGGUACCUUAUUAACGCUGAGGUGUGAUGACGAGGCACUACGGUGCUGAAGUAACAAAUGCCCUGCUUCCAGGAAAAGCCUCUAAGCAUCAGGUAACACGAAAUCGUACCCCAAACCGACACAGGUGGUCAGGUAGAGAAUACCAAGGCGCUUGAGAGAACUCGGGUGAAGGAACUAGGCAAAAUGGUGCCGUAACUUCGGGAGAAGGCACGCUGAUAUGUAGGUGAAGCCCCUGCGGGUGGAGCUGAAAUCAGUCGAAGAUACCAGCUGGCUGCAACUGUUUAUUAAAAACACAGCACUGUGCAAACACGAAAGUGGACGUAUACGGUGUGACGCCUGCCCGGUGCCGGAAGGUUAAUUGAUGGGGUUAGCGGUAACGCGAAGCUCUUGAUCGAAGCCCCGGUAAACGGCGGCCGUAACUAUAACGGUCCUAAGGUAGCGAAAUUCCUUGUCGGGUAAGUUCCGACCUGCACGAAUGGCGUAAUGAUGGCCAGGCUGUCUCCACCCGAGACUCAGUGAAAUUGAACUCGCUGUGAAGAUGCAGUGUACCCGCGGCAAGACGGAAAGACCCCGUGAACCUUUACUAUAGCUUGACACUGAACACUGGUCCUUGAUGUGUAGGAUAGGUGGGAGGCUUUGAAGCGUGGACGCCAGUCUGCGUGGAGCCAACCUUGAAAUACCACCCUUUAAUGGCUGGUGUUCUAACGUAGACCCGUGAUCCGGGUUGCGGACAGUGUCUGGUGGGUAGUUUGACUGGGGCGGUCUCCUCCCAAAGAGUAACGGAGGAGCACGAAGGUUAGCUAAUCCUGGUCGGACAUCAGGAGGUUAGUGCAAUGGCAUAAGCUAGCUUGACUGCGAGAGUGACGGCUCGAGCAGGUGCGAAAGCAGGUCAUAGUGAUCCGGUGGUUCUGAAUGGAAGGGCCAUCGCUCAACGGAUAAAAGGUACUCCGGGGAUAACAGGCUGAUACCGCCCAAGAGUUCAUAUCGACGGCGGUGUUUGGCACCUCGAUGUCGGCUCAUCACAUCCUGGGGCUGAAGUAGGUCCCAAGGGUAUGGCUGUUCGCCAUUUAAAGUGGUACGCGAGCUGGGUUUAGAACGUCGUGAGACAGUUCGGUCCCUAUCUGCCGUGGGCGCUGGAGAAUUGAGGGGGGCUGCUCCUAGUACGAGAGGACCGGAGUGGACGCAUCACUGGUGUUCGGGUUGUCAUGCCAAUGGCACUGCCCGGUAGCUAAAUGCGGAAAAGAUAAGUGCUGAAAGCAUCUAAGCACGAAACUUGCCCCGAGAUGAGUUCUCCCUGACCCUUUAAGGGUCCUGAAGGAACGUUGAAGACUACGACGUUGAUAGGUCGGGUGUGUAAGCGCAGCGAUGCGUUGAGCUAACCGAUACUAAUGAACCGUGAGGCUUAACCUU
rnacentral:rRNA from 1 species